AGAGUUUGAUCCUGGCUCAGAUUGAACGCUGGCGGCAGGCCUAACACAUGCAAGUCGAGCGGUAGAGAGAAGCUUGCUUCUCUUGAGAGCGGCGGACGGGUGAGUAAUGCCUAGGAAUCUGCCUGGUAGUGGGGGAUAACGUUCGGAAACGGACGCUAAUACCGCAUACGUCCUACGGGAGAAAGCAGGGGACCUUCGGGCCUUGCGCUAUCAGAUGAGCCUAGGUCGGAUUAGCUAGUUGGUGAGGUAAUGGCUCACCAAGGCGACGAUCCGUAACUGGUCUGAGAGGAUGAUCAGUCACACUGGAACUGAGACACGGUCCAGACUCCUACGGGAGGCAGCAGUGGGGAAUAUUGGACAAUGGGCGAAAGCCUGAUCCAGCCAUGCCGCGUGUGUGAAGAAGGUCUUCGGAUUGUAAAGCACUUUAAGUUGGGAGGAAGGGCAGUAAAUUAAUACUUUGCUGUUUUGACGUUACCGACAGAAUAAGCACCGGCUAACUCUGUGCCAGCAGCCGCGGUAAUACAGAGGGUGCAAGCGUUAAUCGGAAUUACUGGGCGUAAAGCGCGCGUAGGUGGUUUGUUAAGUUGGAUGUGAAAUCCCCGGGCUCAACCUGGGAACUGCAUUCAAAACUGACUGACUAGAGUAUGGUAGAGGGUGGUGGAAUUUCCUGUGUAGCGGUGAAAUGCGUAGAUAUAGGAAGGAACACCAGUGGCGAAGGCGACCACCUGGACUAAUACUGACACUGAGGUGCGAAAGCGUGGGGAGCAAACAGGGUUAGAUACCCUGGUAGUCCACGCCGUAAACGAUGUCAACUAGCCGUUGGAAGCCUUGAGCUUUUAGUGGCGCAGCUAACGCAUUAAGUUGACCGCCUGGGGAGUACGGCCGCAAGGUUAAAACUCAAAUGAAUUGACGGGGGCCCGCACAAGCGGUGGAGCAUGUGGUUUAAUUCGAAGCAACGCGAAGAACCUUACCAGGCCUUGACAUCCAAUGAACUUUCUAGAGAUAGAUUGGUGCCUUCGGGAACAUUGAGACAGGUGCUGCAUGGCUGUCGUCAGCUCGUGUCGUGAGAUGUUGGGUUAAGUCCCGUAACGAGCGCAACCCUUGUCCUUAGUUACCAGCACGUCAUGGUGGGCACUCUAAGGAGACUGCCGGUGACAAACCGGAGGAAGGUGGGGAUGACGUCAAGUCAUCAUGGCCCUUACGGCCUGGGCUACACACGUGCUACAAUGGUCGGUACAGAGGGUUGCCAAGCCGCGAGGUGGAGCUAAUCCCACAAAACCGAUCGUAGUCCGGAUCGCAGUCUGCAACUCGACUGCGUGAAGUCGGAAUCGCUAGUAAUCGCGAAUCAGAAUGUCGCGGUGAAUACGUUCCCGGGCCUUGCACUAACCGCCCGUC
rnacentral:rRNA from 1 species